CCUACGGGUGGCAGCAGUGAGGAAUAUUGGUCAAUGGCCGGAAGGCUGAACCAGCCAUGCCGCGUGAAGGUCAGUGCCCUAUGGGCGUUAAACUUCUUUUGUGCGGGAGCAAUAAUGGUCACGUGUGGCCAGACGAGAGUACCGUACGAAUAAGCAUCGGCUAACUCCGUGCCAGCAGCCGCGGUAAUACGGGGGAUGCAAGCGUUAUUCGGAUUUAUUGGGUUUAAAGGGUGCGUAGGCUGUGAGGUAAGUCACCGGUGAAAUGCCCCCGCUCAACGGGGUGAAGUGCCAUUGAUACUGCCUGGCUGGAAUGCGGAUGACGUGGGAGGAAUGUGUGGUGUAGCGGUGAAAUGCAUAGAUAUCACACAGAACACCGAUUGCGAAGGCAUCUCACGAAUCCGCGAUUGACGCUGAUGCACGAAAGCGUGGGUAUCAAACAGGAUUAGAUACCCUGGUAGUC
rnacentral:rRNA from 1 species